UGCAAAUGGCCCCGCAGACUGGACUGAAGCUUUGGAUGUUAUUUCCUUGGGUUCUCCUAAGCAAUCAAUUGAAGGCAUGAAAGUUGUUUGUCAUGAGCUGACAACUACUGAUCCUGAGAGUAGUGCGAUGGAUGAUACUGUCAAGGAUGCAGAUAGGCUAGUUGCAUGUCUUGCAAGCAAGGUAAAUAAAUAUCUUCUAUUCUCCUCAUUGGUAUCCAAAGUAAAAAAUAUUCUCAGAAAACGGUACGUUUUGUGUGAUGCAUACUGGUUUCAAUACUAGGAGACUUGGUUUCGAUACUAGAUAGUACUAUUUCUAUUUUCUUUUAAAGGUGGCCAAUAACUGCCGGAAUUUCAAAUGUUCAUAUGUAGUAGCUAAUUCAGCAAACAAUUAACCAAAUCAUGUUAUUUUAAAAACCCAUUCUCAAAUUCUGCUAAAAAUUUGA